GUAGGGCCCAAGCCAGCCAGGAAGGAGGAGGCAGCCAGAGUGUUCUCUGCAGCAGAAGACCCCUUGCUGCCCUGCUUAACCCAGACCAGCAUUUGCCAGCUCUUCCGUAUACCAUGAGGCUAAUUCUAAAGUGGAUCAGAGAGGACACUUAGGAGCGAUCCUGUCUACUGCCUUGGAGUGCUUGCAAUUGAGACCAACGGUGCUCAAGUUCUGCUGGAUUGUGUCUUUUGAAGGAGGCAAGAAUGGAGGCAAGAAUUCCUCACAGUUACCGAUGAAGCAAUCGAUGAGCUUUCCAUGUGCUUUUCUGUUUGUAGGAACUUCUGACCAAAACCAGUGUAAUAAGUCAAUGUUUCCUUUUAAAAGGCUAUCUGUACUAGUUGCAGCCACAACCAUCUGGCUCACACACUUGUUCUAAUUUAAGUUUAAUGUGGAUUAUUGACAAUAGUGUGAUUGUGUGAACACAUGCAAAGGCCGAGAUUUCAGAUGCAUCAUGGGCCAUAAAUUAUCGUGGUGUUUUCACACUCUCAUGCUAAGGUUGGUAACCCACAUUAAACAUAGAUUCUAACAGUUGUGUGAAUUGGGUCAAUGUAUCGGUUAUGAAAUGCAUAACUGGGUUAUGGAAUUUCUUGCCACAGGAUGUGAUGUGAUGGUGUGAGGAGAUGAUUACAAAGAACCAUGGAAGACAAGGUCUUCCAACAUUAGCUAUAAGAGCAAAAGUAGGACUCUAUUAAGAGGAGGUCAGAAACAGCUCACUACUAGGUGCUGGAAACAACAAGCAGUCCAUUGGGGAGGAAGAUAGAAUCAAAGACCUUUGGUCUUCCGUCGGACUGCACUCCCAUGAAUUAGGCCAUCCAAAUCAAGCCCACCCCACUUGUAUGUAUAGUUCAGUAUAAUUAUAGUUCCGUAUAAUUAAUUUUUUUUAAGCAAGCUUGGCUAGGUGGGGAAACAAACAUCAUUCAACUGCUCAAUACCAAAUAAUCACACCUGUCUUGGGAAUUUCUAAAGCCAUCAUUCAGAUAAAAAUUAAACACCUGCCUUACCUUUA